rnacentral:lncRNA from 1 species
CACCGACUCGAUGGAUGUGAGUUUGAGUGAACUCCGGGAGUUGGUGAUGGCCAGGGAGGCCUGGCGUGCUGCGAUUCAUGAGGUUGCAGAGUCAGACAUGACUGAGCGACUGGACUGGACUGAACUGAAGUGAUGAUGAACUCAUCAUGUCUUUAACCACAGUGUCUUAUUCCAAACGAGUGGAGUGGCAGGCGAUGGCCUCCAGGGGAGGGUGAUGAUGAGAUGGGAGGACCAGACAGGUUUGGGAGCAGGAGCUCCAGAUGAGGAGGAAGAGCAGGUUCCAUGGGUGCAAGCUGCCAGCAGGCCUCGGGAGAGGCACCCCAGCAGGAAGUCUCCAGAUGUGGAGCAGGUCUGAGUGAUGACAAGACCCAGGAGGAGACACUGCUGGGAAGCUGGUGACAGAGUGCAGUAAGCUCCUAUCACAGGUCAGCUAAAGGAAUGAGCCUGUCCUGAGUGUUCAGUGUGGUGGCCAAAUGAGCGUUAUUCUUCACGUAGCUGAAUAUUGCACCAAAAUGAAGCUCCGUUCUCUUCAGGAAAUGCGGAUUGAACUGUUGCAGGUUCUAUGUCUGCACUGAUGAAACAAAAAUGAAUGAACGGGUCCCUCAAGCCCUUGAAGUCGAGGGGAACAUGGAGACAUGAUGUCAGUAUGACAAUCUCUAGGUCCAUGCAUGUUGCUCAGAGCUGAGUUUUCAAGAAACCCCCGUGGAACAGUGCAGAGGAUGGAGGACAGGAGGCUGGAGGACGCUCCUGUGAGGCUCCAGGAGGGCAGGCCCUGGGGCAGAGUGAGGCUGCAGAGGAGGAUGCCUGCUGGAAAAAGGUCCUGAAAAGGCUUGGUGUCCUGAGCUCGAGGGACCGGGGCACCUCCGCAGAAACAAGUAAGUGGACACUACAUUCCAACCCACAGCCUAUCAGAGAUGAUGGUUCUUCAUCUAGGAAAUCAUGUGAGUUUCCAAAAACGCCCAAGAUGGAGACUGAAGCGGGAAGCUGGGAGGUCGG